CGCGGCAGGCUUGACCUGCUGAGGAAAGUCCGUGCUACCCCAGACUGCGAUGUCUGGAGUGAUCGUGCUAGACCUAAUAAGUCUAGGCAUAUUCCUAUGACGACGGCUUAAUUCCUAAAUCGAAAGACAUGGAAGGCGCCAUAAAGUGCCACAGAAACUAUUUCCUGACGAAAGUCAGGGGUGAAAAGUCGGUAAACUCCACGAGGUAGAAACCCAAAUUUUGGUAGGGGAGCCUGCAGAGAGGAAUUGAACUUGAUGCAGGAAGGAUUCUUAGAUAAAUGAUGCGCUGAAAAACAGAACACGGCUUAUAA
rnacentral:RNase_P_RNA from 1 species